AGUGAACAGGACGACCUAAAUCCCGCCAUGGAGGGCAAACAACUUGAAAGAGUACAGUGUGCAAAAUUCCUGGGUAUGCACAUUGAUGAGAAGAUUAAUUGGAAGGACCAUGUGAAUUUUAUCAUAUGAGAGGGAUGCUUCCCAAAUACUGAAUUUGCUGGUGUCACGUGAGGUUUCUGACUUAGAGCUCUCAGAAAAUGAUGAAAGUGGCCCUGAUGAUGCAGAAUCUAUUCCACAAUGCACUAGACCUGGUGCUGAUGUAGUCACAAACUACGAAGAGGAACAACUGGAGGACGAUAGUUGCAGCACAGAAGAAGAUGACCAAAAUCAUACUUAUGCACAGGACUCAAAUGUUGAAGACUCUAUUAUUCCAUACGAGUGGGUGUUUACUGAAAAUAGUGAUAUUAGAUGGAGAAGAAAAUCGCCUCCACUCCAAAGCACACCUAUAGGUGAAGACCAGUAUUCAGUGCAGCCAUCAGAGUGUGAUAUGACACCCAUUGAAUAUUUUUCAGAGUACAUUUCUCAUGCUUGCUUAGAAAAUAUGGUUGAAAAAACCAACAUGUAUGCAUUGCAACAUGGGAAAACAUUUACACCGACAAAUGUAACGGAAAUAAAGGCUUUCCUAGGACUUCAUAUAAUAAUGGGAUGCUUGAAAUACCCCAGAGUUAGAAUGUAUUGGGAUUCAGCAUUGCAUUUAGAUCUCUUUGUGGAAAGUAUGUCAAGAGAGAGAUUUUUCCAACUGAGAUCAAAUUUCCAUGUAGUUGACAAUUUGGCAAGACCAGAAAAUUGCAAAGACAAAUUUUACAAAGUGAGACCCAUUUAUGAUUGUAUUAGACGUAGAUGUUUGGAACUACAGAUUGAGGAAGAAUUAUGUGUUGACGAGCAAAUGAUUCCUUUCAAAGGUCAUUUAGGAGUAAAGCAGUAUUGUAAGGGAAAGCCUAAACCUUGGGGUCUAAAACUGU